GUGCUCACUUCGGCGGCACAUACACUAAAAUUGAAACGAUAUAGAGAAGAUUAGCAUGGCCCCUGCAGAAGAAUGACACGCAAAUUUGUGAAGUGUUCCAUAUUUUU